rnacentral:rRNA from 1 species
UACAGAGGUCCCGAGCGUUGUUCGGAUUCAUUGGGCGUAAAGGGUGCGUAGGCGGUCUGCUAAGUUUGAUGGUGAAAUCCCGGGGCUCAACCCUGGAAUGGCAUUGAAUACUGGCGGACUAGAGUACCGGAGAGGAACUGGAAUUUACGGUGUAGCAGUGAAAUGCGUAGAGAUCGUAAGGAAGACCAGUGGCGAAGGCGAGUUUCUGGACGGUAAC